rnacentral:lncRNA from 10 species
AGAAGAGCCUGGAAUUGGCCUAUCCGUCUUUUUCCCCGUUGGAUCACAGAGCAGAAAGGAAGCUAAGACCUCUAGUACAGUGUUCAAUGGAACUGGUGAGAAAAGACGUCCUUGCUGUGUUCCUGAUAUGAAGAGGAAAGCAGUCCUUCUCCAUUAAAUGCUGACAACAUGAGCCUCCCGUGGUCGGAACGGGCUUGUGAAGGCGGUGCUGGGGUGCACCAGGGCAGCAGCUACAGGGUCAAGCCUGAGACACCUGAAGCCCUGGACUUGGAAUCUGAAGCUGUCAUCAGCCAGUACACCUAUGAACCUGUGGAAGACCUGAAGUACCUGUUUAAAAGACAGCCAAAAGAUAAGUAAAUACUUCCCAAAUUUC